rnacentral:rRNA from 1 species
CGGGGGGGUUUAUAUAUAGGGUGUUUAAAAUGUCAGGACGAACGCUGGCGGCGUGCCUAAUACAUGCAAGUCGAGCGGACAGAUGGGAGCUUGCUCCCUGAUGUUAGCGGCGGACGGGUGAGUAACACGUGGGUAACCUGCCUGUAAGACUGGGAUAACUCCGGGAAACCGGGGCUAAUACCGGAUGCUUGUUUGAACCGCAUGGUUCAAACAUAAAAGGUGGCUUCGGCUACCACUUACAGAUGGACCCGCGGCGCAUUAGCUAGUUGGUGAGGUAAUGGCUCACCAAGGCGACGAUGCGUAGCCGACCUGAGAGGGUGAUCGGCCACACUGGGACUGAGACACGGCCCAGACUCCUACGGGAGGCAGCAGUAGGGAAUCUUCCGCAAUGGACGAAAGUCUGACGGAGCAACGCCGCGUGAGUGAUGAAGGUUUUCGGAUCGUAAAGCUCUGUUGUUAGGGAAGAACAAGUACCGUUCGAAUAGGGCGGUACCUUGACGGUACCUAACCAGAAAGCCACGGCUAACUACGUGCCAGCAGCCGCGGUAAUACGUAGGUGGCAAGCGUUGUCCGGAAUUAUUGGGCGUAAAGGGCUCGCAGGCGGUUUCUUAAGUCUGAUGUGAAAGCCCCCGGCUCAACCGGGGAGGGUCAUUGGAAACUGGGGAACUUGAGUGCAGAAGAGGAGAGUGGAAUUCCACGUGUAGCGGUGAAAUGCGUAGAGAUGUGGAGGAACACCAGUGGCGAAGGCGACUCUCUGGUCUGUAACUGACGCUGAGGAGCGAAAGGACGCCC